rnacentral:rRNA from 1 species
UACAGAGGUGGCAAGCGUUGUUCGGAAUUACUGGGCGUAAAGGGCGCGUAGGCGGUUCGUUAAGUCCUGUGUGAAAUCCCCCGGCUCAACUGGGGAACUGCACAGGAAACUAGCGGGCUUGAGUUCGGGAGAGGGAAGCGGAAUUCCGGGUGUAGCGGUGAAAUGCGUAGAUAUCUGGAGGAACACCGGUGGCGAAGGCGGCAUUCUGGACUGCAACUGACACUGAGGAACGAAAGCCAGGGGAGCAAACGGG